AGUGAACGCUGGCGGUAGGCCUAACACAUGCAAGUCGAACGGCAGCACAGUAAGAGCUUGCUCUUACGGGUGGCGAGUGGCGGACGGGUGAGGAAUACAUCGGAAUCUACUUUUUCGUGGGGGAUAACGUAGUGAAACUUACGCUAAUACCGCAUACGACCUACGGGUGAAAGCAGGGGAUCUUCGGACCUUGCGCGAUUGAAUGAGCCGAUGUCGGAUUAGCUAGUUGGCGGGGUAAAGGCCCACCAAGGCGACGAUCCGUAGCUGGUCUGAGAGGAGGAUCAGCCACACUGGAACUGAGACACGGUCCAGACUCCUACGGGAGGCAGCAGUGGGGAAUAUUGGACAAUGGGAGCAAGCCUGAUCCAGCCAUACCGCGUGAGUGAAGAAGGCCUUCGGGUUGUAAAGCCCUUUUGUUGGGAAAGAAAAGCAGCAGGUUAAUACCCCGCUGUUCUGACGGUACCCAAAGAAUAAGCACCGGCUAACUUCGUG
rnacentral:rRNA from 1 species